rnacentral:rRNA from 1 species
CCUACGGGAGGCAGCAGUGAGGAAUAUUGGUCAAUGGCCGCAGGGCUGAACCAGCCAAGUCGCGUGAGGGAUGACGAUCCUAUGGAUUGUAAACCUCUUUUGUCAGGGAGCAAAGGGCGCCACGUGUGGCGCUUUGCGAGUACCUGAAGAAAAAGCAUCGGCUAACUCCGUGCCAGCAGCCGCGGUAAUACGGAGGAUGCGAGCGUUAUCCGGAUUUAUUGGGUUUAAAGGGUGCGCAGGCGGAAUGUCAAGUCAGCGGUAAAAUUUCGGGGCUCAACCCCGUCGUGCCGUUGAAACUGGCGUUCUUGAGUGAGCGAGAAGUAUGCGGAAUGCGUGGUGUAGCGGUGAAAUGCAUAGAUAUCACGCAGAACUCCGAUUGCGAAGGCAGCAUACCGGCGCUCAACUGACGCUCAUGCACGAAAGCGUGGGUAUCGAACAGGAUUAGAUACCCCAGUAGUC